GGGGCGGCGAGGCGAGGCCUGCGGAGCGGAGGAAGACAAACAUAAAGAUGAAGUGCUUAAUUCAAGGUCACACAAUGUCGGGGAUGGACCUCCAGAUUUCCUUACUGACCUGCAUUAUCUUGUGGAUACCUGAGUGAAUUCCACACCACCCAUUUUAUAGAUGAAACCACUGAGACAUGGAGCAAUUGACUGAGUAGUCACUGCCCCACCCCUGCCUGGAGCCUCACACAUGACUCGCCUCCUCUCAGUGACCACAGGUUGGUUGAGGGGUUUAACAAGGCUAAGAAGAGACGGAGUCUUGCUAUGUUGCCCAGGCUGGUCUUGAACUCCUCACCUCAAGCGAUCCUCCCGUCUUGGCCUCCCAAGUGUCAGGAUUACGGGCAUGUGCUAUCACACCCAACCUGAUACAUUGCCUUUAUAAAUUUUUUUUUCUUUAUUCUAAAAACCAGAAAAAACAAAACUGGAUACAUGUGCAGAACAUGCAGGUGAGACGUGGUCUUGUAACACAGUGGUUAAGAAUGUGACUUUGGAGCCAGCCUGCUAGGGGCUGAAUUCUGACUCAGCCAUUUACUAACUGUGUGACCUUAGGUAAGUCAUUUACCUUCUUUGUCCCUCAGUUUCAUCUCGGUUAAGUAGGGAUAAUGAUAGCACCUAUUUUAUAGGGUUAUUGUGAGGAAUAAAUCCAAGUAAAAUGCUUAGAAUAGUAACUGAAACAUAGCACUCAUUAGGAAUGCUUUAAUUUUCAUUUAUUUGAGUAUUAAAGGUUGAAUUUUC
rnacentral:lncRNA from 1 species